rnacentral:rRNA from 1 species
CUAACAAGGUUUCCGUAGGUGAACCUGCGGAAGGAUCAUUACAAAUCCCACGCCGUGGCUAGCCCCUCGGCGGAUGGGGGGCGUGCCGGCCCAUUGGCCCGUCGCGCGCCCGACCCCCCCAAACUCUCUGCGUACACAUCCCCGUUGCUUCCCCGGGCAGGCGUCACGCCUCCCGGGGGAGGACACACCGACAGCACACGAUGCCGGCAAACAGGCCCGUCCAACCCUCCCCACUCAAUCCGCCCUGUCCGAAGGCCAGCACGGCCGUGGAGAAGGAGGAGCGAGCUAGGGACGGAGAAAAUGAAAAGAAGAAGAACGUAAAGAAAACUUUCAACAACGGAUCUCUUGGUUCCCGCAUCGAUGAAGAACGCAGCGAAAUGCGAUAAGUAAUGUGAAUUGCAGAAUUCAGUGAAUCAUCGAAUCUUUGAACGCACAUUGCGCCCCCUGGCAUUCCGGGGGGCAUGCCUGUUCGAGCGUCUCUGGAAAGUAGACUCACGCGACGAAACGCGUGGUGGUGACGGCGGCGGCGGACCCUGUUGCAGGGGAGGCCACCCCGGCGGAAACCAUGGGCGGACGACUGCCGCGUCGCAGAGCGUGAUAAUUCGCUAUCGCCUCGAGCGCGGACCGGUUGCCAGCCCUCGCAAGGCGCCCGCCAAGCCGCAGAGUGUGACGGUCUCGCCCUCCGAAUCAGGUAGGGAUACCCGCUGAACUUAAGCAUAUCAAUAAGCG